CCUACGGGAGGCAGCAGUGGGGAAUAUUGCGCAAUGGGCGAAAGUCUGACGCCGCGACGCCGCGUGCGGGAUGAAGGUCUUCGGAUCGUUAACCUCUGUCAGCAGGGAAGAACGGUCACUGUGCUAAUCAGCAGUGACUUGACGGUACCUGCAAAGGAAGCACCGGCUAACUCCGUGCCAGCAGCCGCGGUAAUACGGAGGGUGCGAGCGGUAAUCGGAAUUACGGGGCGUAAAGCGCUCGUAGACGGUAUGUCAAGUCAAGGGUGAAAUCCCCGCGCUCAACGUGGGAAUUGCCUUUGAAACUGGCAAACUGGAGUGUGUGAGAGGAUAGUGGAAUUCCAGGUGUAGGAGUGAAAUCCGUAGAGAUCUGGAGGAACAUCAGUGGCGAAGGCGACUAUCUGGCACAUAACUGACGCUGAGGAGCGAAAGCGUGGGUAGCAAACAGGAUUAGAUACCCUUGUAGUC
rnacentral:rRNA from 1 species